UGGCUGCAGUUCUUUCCAUUCCCACUUUGGCUUCUCCUGGAAUAGUUUGGAAAACCGUUCAGCAGGCACUGAUGACAGUGAAGAAACACUAAAAGCAUAAAUCCGAGUCUCUAUCCCGAUCUUUUCGGUCAAGACUUCUCCUUCUAGCACAUCAAAACUUGCAUUCAUCCCUUCUGGAACUUUCUUUCUCCACUCCUCCAUAAAUCUUUCAAGUUUCAUUUUUUCCCCUCUUAAGAUUACUCUA
rnacentral:misc_RNA from 1 species